rnacentral:lncRNA from 1 species
AGAAGAAUGCAAAAUAUCCUUACUAGAUGCAAUACAAUACAUUGCAAAGGCUUGGAGUUCUGUUGCCAAAGAAAUUACCUGCAACUGUUUUCAACAUGCUGGAUUUACUUCCUUAAUGCAACAGGACCUUGAUGUCACUGAAAGAAAUGAUAUCGUAUGAUGAUGAUGAUCUGCCUUUGUCCGAGUGGGUCCAGAAAAAUUGGAACGAUGAUUUAGGACAGCAUGAUUACGAUGCGUUUGCUAUAAUAGAUGAUGACAUUGUUACCAUAGAAAUGCUAACGGAGGAAGACAUAGUUAACAAAGUCAAAGGGAGUAAUAUCGCGGACAUACAAGAUGACGACGACAAUGAGAUCGAGGAACCAGUACCUAAUUUGAGGGAGGCUCUUGAUGCUAUUAGAAUUAUUAAUCAAUUUUACGAGG